rnacentral:rRNA from 1 species
AUUGAACGCUGGCGGCAUGCUUUACACAUGCAAGUCGAACGGCAGCACGGGGGCAACCCUGGUGGCGAGUGGCGAACGGGUGAGUAAUAUAUCGGAACGUACCCGGAAAUGGGGGAUAACGUAGCGAAAGUUACGCUAAUACCGCAUAUGCCCUAAGGGGGAAAGCGGGGGAUUCGCAAGAACCUCGCGUUUUCGGAGUGGCCGAUAUCGGAUUAGCUAGUAGGUGAGGUAAAGGCUCACCUAGGCGACGAUCCGUAGCUGGUCUGAGAGGACGACCAGCCACACUGGAACUGAGACACGGUCCAGACUCCUACGGGAGGCAGCAGUGGGGAAUUUUGGGACAAUGGGCGCAAGCCUGAUCCAGCCAUGCCGCGUGAGUGAAGAAGGCC